AGUGAACGCUGGCGGCGUGCCUAAUACAUGCAAGUCGAACGGAGUGGCGCACGGGUGAGUAAUGUAUAGCUAAUCUGCACUACACUAGAGGAAAACAGUUGGAAACGACUGCGAAUACUCUAUAGUGUAGGAUGAGGCUAUAUUGUAUCAGCUAGGUGGUGAGGUAGUGGCUCACCAAGGCUAUGACGCAGAACUGGUCUGUGAGGAUGAGCAGUCACACGGGAACGGAGGCACGGUCCAGACUCCUACGGGAAGCAGCAGAAGGGAAAAAUGCUCAUUGGGGGAAUCCCUGAAGCAGCAACGCCGCGUGGAGGAUGACACUUUUCGGAGCGUAAACUCCUUUUGUUAGGGAAGCGGUACCUAACGAAUAAGCACCGGCUAACUCCGUGCCAGCAGCCGCGGUAAUAC
rnacentral:rRNA from 1 species